UACAGAGGUCUCGAGCGUUGUUCGGAUUCAUUGGGCGUAAAGGGCGCGUAGGCGGCGCGGUAAGUCGGGUGUGAAAUCUCGGAGCUUAACUCCGAAACUGCAUUCGAUACUACCGUGCUUGAGGACUGGAGAGGAGACUGGAAUUUACGGUGUAGCGGUGAAAUGCGUAGAUAUCGUAAGGAAGACCAGUGGCGAAGGCGGGUCUCUGGACAGUUCCUGACGCUGAGGCACGAAGGUCAGGGGAGCAAACGGG
rnacentral:rRNA from 1 species